UCGGAAUUUCAUUUGCGGAAGAGUUACGCGCUCGAGCACGCAUAUCUCGACUAUUUGUCUAUUGAUCGGUCUAUAGCAAUGGGAAUUUCUGCAACUGUAGAACGACGCGCAGGAUCAAUGAGACUGACGUGCAAAACAAAAGGAAAAGGGAGAAAACGAACCGAAGAACAUGAAAGAGGAACAGACGCGAGUCGUGACAAUACGAGAAAGCUUGUAAGGGGAUAAGGAGGCUCAGCCGUCUUAAAAGACGAUUCUAAGAUACGAGCUAGAGAAAAUAAGAAGAGAGGAAAAGAGGGCAGUGUGAGUGAAAUGGGCCGUGGAGAAAGAAGAAAGGACGAAGCAUGGGGUAUGGCCGAUAACAAAGGAUGCACGAAUCUCUGAGACAAGGAAGUCGCAAAGGAGGGCUCCUCUAAACUGUUAAAAUCCGCCAUACCGAUGAGAAGAACAGAGGUAAUGACCGCGUUGUGGGGAGAAAUGGCGUGCGCCAAUAGUUGGAGCAGAUCGACACACGUUGAGCUGGUGUUCGAGGUAUCCCGGUGCAGCUGCAUUUGUCUUCCUACUUACAAGUUUUUAUCGCAUCUCGUCCUUGGGUGUCGAAAAUGGAACAGAACGUCUCGGCCGAGUUGGUAGCUGGACAAAAUCCAACUCGCCUUUCGCCCGCGAAAUUCAAGACCGGAGUGCGGUACGCGGCAUAUCGAUUUCCACCUACGAUGCUUUUCUAUCGCGCGAUUCCGGCUUGUUGCGGGUCAUACAUAACGUUGCAGCGAAGGCGUAGUCGCCGACACGCCCGAACAAUUCCCACAGCCGAGAACCGAAGCGAAUGGUCACCAUUAUGGUGCUCACCGUGACAUGUUACCAGUAGUUAAGCGGCUCACGACAAAGUGGGUUAAGAGGUACGGAGCUUGAGUAAGUCAGUAGAACGUUCCCUGAUGAGCAGCAGUUUCGGAGGAAGUGGUGAAAUAAAUACAACCACCGUACGAAGCUACUUGCGCAAAUCUCUACAAUAAAGAAGAAACGUCAUUCUCUUCGGGGAAAAUCGGUUCAAAGUUGAAAUUAACUAUGACGGAAGAAGAAGCAAGUAAUUUGAGGAAGAUUCCGUAUUCAUCGUCGCAGUGAAACAAACGCGAAAUCCCGUCGUUUAAUAACCGCUCGCCAGAUUCCCGUCUCUUCAAGGAAGUUACGAGAUGAAAGUAAAAUUACCAGUGUGUUCAACGUUAAUUAUGAGCGUUCGUACAGCGGAAUAUCUAUGGAGCUGCGUCCCUCAAGUGGAUUUCAGCGUGUCGACCUGCACACGCCGUCUGCCGAUUAUGCGGAGCUUCAGAAGAAGAAUAAACUUCGCGCUGCAUAAACGGCCGCUUAAUUAAUUUCGAACCCGCGUCUUAAGGGCGAAUCCGACUUGCCUUGAGGUAACAGCUCGCGCUUAGCUCGCCCUUAAAAGAAAGCCAGUGGACCUUUCUAUCGUCAGGAAGCAGAGAGGGAAGAUGAAGAGGAGCGGAGAUAUGCUGUGGGAGGGAGAGCCGCGAGGAUGAAAGAAGAGAGUCCGUUAGUGACGUGAAGGAGAGAGCGGGAGAGACUAUACCGACGAUAGAGACGAUGGUCGCUACGCUGUGAACUGGCUUUUCAACUCGUUCUCCACCUCUAAUGUCCAAUUUUUUCUGCACCGCUUCUUUGCGAGGCUCUGGGUUUUGCCACUUUAAUUAACGGUUUUGCUAAUGGCGGAAUAAGAAGGAAGCGUCCGGGCUCGUUAAACGUCCCUUUCGUGAAACUUCUCUCUCUCUCUCACUCCCUUGCUCUCCUCUCUUUCCCCUCUCUCUCUUCUUACAUUGGUGGUAAAUCUUUGUUACAUGGACUCAUUUAUGUUGUUAUAGGAGAGCAGAAAGGGCACAUAUACGUAUACGUCCCAACUACGAAAUAUUACGCAGAAUGGAAUCAGUAGUUGCGUAUGGUUAAACGCUCUUCCUUUUUGUAACUCCAUCCAAUUCAACUUCUUUACGAUACUUUUUUACGUGAACAUUAUAUAACAUCAUAUAUGUUUCCCUUUGUAACUACGUUAUUUUCAAGCAGAGUUCCCCCUUUUAGAUACUUUUUCUUACCUUUGAUACUUAAAGUUAAAUUAGUGUAUAUUCGGCCUUUUCAGGAAGAAAGUGAGGAGAAGGAGGUGUAGAAAGCGCAAUUUUUUGCUUUAUGUACGUUAUUUGUAGGUGCACCACUUAAAAGUUGGAGUGGAAUUCGUUCGUGACGUUUGCGCUGUACGAUCUCGCCAACGAUGAUUAUUUGUUUCUUUUUCCCGGUUUGCAGGAGAUUAUAAGUUCUCGAUUAUAUUCUCACGAGCUCUUGCGGCUAAGUCGGAUAUUUCCACUUUGACAUUCAAAGAAACAACCGGUCGAGCAAUUUCGCGAAGAGCAAUCGAAUUGCACGAUAUAUUUUCUUUAUAUUUCAAAAAGCCUAUUGAAAGCCUAUUGAAUAUUAUGUAUUGAAUCUCACAUUGCGCCUUCAACUUUUUAAUAUCAGAAAGUUUGCAUGUUGGAAAAUUUCCACCGCGAGCAAAUUCAUGAUAAACAUUGAUUGACGGCUUAACAGUGUAACGUACUAUUACUUCCAGUGGUUUACGAGUAUAAAAUUUAACGUCACAUUCUUGGAAAUAAACAUCAUUAGCAUUGUGGUGCGUCACGCGACAAAUAUAUACGCAAUUCUUUCAUUUGCGAAUAAAUGUAUUAGGAGAUAAAUGCUAAAAAAGAAGACAGAUUACUUUCUGGCAUUUCUGCGCUGUGGUCGGGAAAAUUAAAAUGGACGGUAAAAGGACAUUUAACGUUCAAAUUAAUAUCCGGAACUUUAUCGUUUUUCUCUCGUAAUUUGUCGACGUAGUGGCUUCACUGAAGUUAUGAUAAAUUUGUUAAAGUCAGUCAUAAAAUGAUAAUGAUCAUUGUCUUCGAGUGUAAAGCAAAGGUUGAGAAAUGAAUCUCGCAGACUAAAAAUAGACAAUGGCCAGCCAGUGGUGCGCGUGUAUUCAAGGAACCGCGCGACGAUCCUGAAACUGUAGUGGAGGAGAAGAGAAAGAGUCAAGGAUGAAAGUCGUCGUCGCCAUCGUCGUCGUAGUAUUCGGCUGGCUCGUUGAGUACCAAACGAUCUGGCCGGGAUCCAAGCUACCGGCAAUCGAUAUAAGCGCGCUAGCUUAUGAACAAUGGGCUCGAAUAUCGCCGCAAAUAAACGGAGCCGCACAAUUUCAACUUACCCGACUCAAGAAGAAUUCGAACUACAGAGCAGCGAACGUCAACGUCACGAACGUGCUGGGAAUUCCGUGCUAAACGCGAUGGCUCGUACAAAGAAGGACGUUACAAAGCCCUUUCGCAUCGUAAUCGGGAUAGUUCGUUUGUAAAGAAAAAGUCCAAAGGGAAAAGACAAUGCUACGAGAUUACUAUCCGAUAUUUGUCGCCCGUGGCGUCCGAUUUCGAUCACGCAAGUUCGAGAAUCAUCUUGGAAUAGCGCGACACAGCGUGACGAUUGAAAAAAAGCGUUUUGUCAUGAUUGUCGCUCGGUGCUUGAUUUAUCUAUCGUAUCGGAUAUGAGUAUGGAUAUUCCUGUUCUAGCUUCUGGGAAAGAAAUAAUUUUUGCGCGUAACAGUAUGUGUGCACUGUCUGCACCAAUGAGCAACUUAUUCUAAACCUUUACAUCGGAAUUUAACCCGCUAUUGUAGUACGCCUGAAUAAAUCGCUAGAAGAACGUUUUAAAAUCGUUUUAUGUAAAAAAAGAAUGUAUGUUUAUAUGAGUGAGUAUUUGAAUGUGUAUACAUAUAUAUAUACACACAACACACACACACACACACAUAUAGCAUUAAAACAUGAAAUAUAUAUUCUUUUGAUAUUUCUUUAGCUCGAAAUUUUACUAAAAAUUGAAAUCAAAGAAAACAGCGGGAUUAAAACUAAUUUUAAUUCCAAUUCCACUUUAAAAACUGAAUUUAAUUUUAUUUAGUAUUUUCUCUGGUAGAAAUGUAUGUAGUUAGUAUAGACAUUCGCCUAGUUAUCUAGUAUUAAUAUAUUCUUAUGAGUUAUAGAAAUAAUACGUAGAAAUUGAACGAGAACUGGAUUCAAUAGUUGUUGAAACAAUUUACAAUAUGUGAAUCUCUCAAAGUAUUAGUAAUAUUAAUUCAGUUUUUAGUUCAAAAGAGCUUAAAAUUGCGUCAAAAAUAAGUGAACGUAUAUAAAGUAUAGAUUAUUAAUUAAUUAAUUAGAUUAUUAAUUAAUCAAAUAACUUUAUGUUCAUUUUCUAUUUCAUUUUCGUACAGUAAAUAAGUUUAGAUUUUGUGCAUCUUUUGUGCGCAAUAACUGCAGGAAAAGCGUUAUAUCUUGAUCCCAAGUAAUUUUACUUUUUAAUUACUAGACAAAAUUAAUAUAACUGUCCAAUAAUUGCUUGAUAACUGCAUUAAAUUUCUACUAGGGUUAUUUACGGAAUUUUUUUAAGCUAAAAAUUUGUCUGCAUAACCGAUAACCGGUUUAUUAUUAUCGAUUUAUUAGUCUUAACCGAAUUCCAAUUAUCGUAGAUAAUCAGCGUUUUAUUGUGUGCAUAUUUAUGUACUUCGUACUUGAGAUUGCAAUACUGUUUAUUUGAGAUUAUCGAUAUGAAAUAAAAAUUAGAGACCAAUAAUAUCCAAGUAAAAUCCAAAACAGAACGAAUUUUUACGAUUCCCCCU